UACGGGGGGGGCAAGCGUUGUUCGGAAUUACUGGGCGUAAAGCGUGCGCAGGCGGUUUUGUAAGCCAGAUGUGAAAUCCCCGGGCUCAACCUGGGAAUGGCAUUUGGGACUGCAAGGCUGGAGUGCGGCAGAGGAGACUGGAAUUCCUGGUGUAGCGGUGAAAUGCGUAGAUAUCGAGAGGAACACCUGCGGCGAAGGCGGGUUGCUGGGCUGACACUGACGCUGAGGCGCGAAAGCUAGGGGAGCGAACGGG
rnacentral:rRNA from 1 species